rnacentral:misc_RNA from 1 species
GCCAAAUCUGCCAAAUGUCCUCAAAAGAAAAUUCUCGUCCACCUGCGGUGCAAGAUUCCCAACAUAUAAAUUUGUUGUUUGGGGAUCUCCGUCAUCAAAUGAUCCAGGCAGCCUUCCACUUGGAUCAAAAUCAUCCGGCAGUUCGUCAAAACGGGUAGAAGCUGCUGAGCUGUCAUUUUGGUGUCCUUCCCUCCAUGGCUCACGUUCUUGAUUGCGCUUCUCCCUCAGUUCUUGUUCGGCCUUGAGCUCCUCCAAAAAAUUAUCAAUGGCUCGUGGUGGCUUACCUUUCUCCUUUUCCUUUGGCUUCUCCUCCUCUU